GUUGAACGCUGGCGGCAUGCCUAAUACAUGCAAGUCGAGCGAACGGACGAGAAUCUUUCUUCUCUGAUGUUAGCGGCGGACGGGUGAUUAACACGUGGCUAACCUACCUAUAAGACUGGGAUCACUUCAGGAACCCUGAUCUAAUACCGGUUAAUAUUUUGAACCUCAUGGUUCUACAGUGAUCGACGUUCUUGCUGUCCCUUAUAGAUGGUUCCGCGCUGCAUUAGCUAGUUGGUAAGGUAACGGCUUACCAAGGCAACGAUGCAUAGCCGACCUGAGAGGGUGAUCGGCCACACUGGAACUGAGACACGGUCCAGACUCCUACGGGAGGCAGCAGUAGGGAAUCUUCCGCAAUGGGCGAAAGCCUGACGGAGCAACGCCGCGUGAGUGAUGAAGGUCUUCGGAUCGUAAAACACUGUUAUUAGGGAAGAACAUAUGUGAAAGUAAAUGUGCACAUCUUGACGGUACCAAAUCAGAAAGCAACGGCUAACUACGUG
rnacentral:rRNA from 1 species